rnacentral:rRNA from 1 species
AAAUUGAAGAGUUUGAUCAUGGCUCAGAUUGAACGCUGGCGGCAGGCCUAACACAUGCAAGUCGAACGGUAACAGGAAACAGCUUGCUGUUUCGCUGACGAGUGGCGGACGGGUGAGUAAUGUCUGGGAAACUGCCCGAUGGAGGGGGAUAACUACUGGAAACGGUAGCUAAUACCGCAUAACGUCGCAAGACCAAAGAGGGGGACCUUCGGGCCUCUUGCUAUCGGAUGUGCCCAGAUGGGAUUAGCUAGUAGGUGGGGUAACGGCUCACCUAGGCGACGAUCCCUAGCUGGUCUGAGAGGAUGACCAGCCACACUGGAACUGAGACACGGUCCAGACUCCUACGGGAGGCAGCAGUGGGGAAUAUUGCACAAUGGGCGCAAGCCUGAUGCAGCCAUGCCGCGUGUAUGAAGAAGGCCUUCGGGUUGUAAAGUACUUUCAGCGGGGAGGAAGGGAGUAAAGUUAAUACCUUUACUCAUUGACGUUACCCGCAGAAGAAGCACCGGCUAACUCCGUGCCAGCAGCCGCGGUAAUACGGAGGGUGCAAGCGUUAAUCGGAAUUACUGGGCGUAAAGCGCACGCAGGCGGUUUGUUAAGUCAGA